rnacentral:rRNA from 1 species
GGAAGUAAAAGUCGUAACAAGGUCUCCGUUGGUGAACCAGCGGAGGGAUCAUUACUGAGUUUACGCUCUAUAACCCUUUGUGAACAUACCUAUAACUGUUGCUUCGGCGGGUAGGGUCUCCGCGACCCUCCCGGCCUCCCGCCUCCGGGCGGGUCGGCGCCCGCCGGAGGAUAACCAAACUCUGAUUUAACGACGUUUCUUCUGAGUGGUACAAGCAAAUAAUCAAAACUUUUAACAACGGAUCUCUUGGUUCUGGCAUCGAUGAAGAACGCAGCGAAAUGCGAUAAGUAAUGUGAAUUGCAGAAUUCAGUGAAUCAUCGAAUCUUUGAACGCACAUUGCGCCCGCCAGCAUUCUGGCGGGCAUGCCUGUUCGAGCGUCAUUUCAACCCUCAAGCUCUGCUUGGUGUUGGGGCCCUACAGCUGAUGUAGGCCCUCAAAGGUAGUGGCGGACCCUCCCGGAGCCUCCUUUGCGUAGUAACUUUACGUCUCGCACUGGGAUCCGGAGGGACUCUUGCCGUAAAACCCCCCAAUUUUCCAAAGGUUGACCUCGGAUCAGGUAGGAAUACCCGCUGAACUUAAGCAUAUCAAUAA